AGUUUGCACCUGCGUAGCAAGCGCAAAGGGCUGGAAAAGAUGAGGGAUAGAUCCUGCGCGCCUGUAAAGAAGAAUGGAGCAAAUGUAGGGAAAGGGAGCGCUUUUAGUUUUAUUCGUACUCAUCUUGGUCAUAGCCAACAAGCCCGGGCUACUUACCCUUAUACACCGUAGCAAGAGUAUUUUGGUUUACCUGUGUUGCUGUAAAACAUGAAGAGAAUGGGGCGAGGUAUUAUACAAGAUGGCGGACAAACCUAACAAGAAAGUCCACCCAUCUCAAAGCAGACAAAGCACGUUUGCCUUUCGUAUCAUCAACCCUGAACUCUUUAUAAAGCCGAAUAAAGUCGUGAUGACUUUUGGACUGGUGUCCAUCGUAGGCUGUAUCCUUUACUUGGGCUACAUGAACAUGGUGUCUGGACUUGGAGAAAAACAAACUGUGUCUGUUAAAGUACAAAAUACUCCACCGAGGAAAAGCAAAUGGGACUAGUGCUUGACUAAAAACAUCCCCAGGGUCUUCCCCUCAUACCCCCCUUGGGGUUAGGGGAGGGUGGGACUCUGGGAACGAGGAUGGACUAAAAAUUGAUGGUUCCAAGAGAGGCUCAUCGGAAAAUCUCCUGUCUGUCAUAAAGAGUGAAGCCACUGUUGUAUAAUCUGCAGAUAAAUAUGCAUGAUGGCCUGACAUGUUAUUUUAAGGCAGGCUUGUACCCAGGGGGGGAUGGCACCCCACACAAUGCGAAAAGUCCACUUUAGGUUUGCAAAAGACAUGCUAAUUGUAGACAAAACUAUAAAGCAUAAGCGAAUUAGAUAACUCUGAUGUGUCAUAAAUGUAAAAGUCACCCUUUUUGUAGCUGAAUCCGAUAAUAGACGUCACAUGAAAAUAAUUCAAUGUGUUAAAUAAAUCCAAUUUUGUUCCUUUGUUGGUGGUAAGAUUUUAUCAGAAUACUCACUCACUCCCCCCCCACCCCCCCGGAAAAAUUUGCACUCCCCCAAGAAAAAUCCUAGGUACCAGCCUGUAAAUGCAGGCAUUUUGUAUUGUGUUAGUAUUUUGAAACACCUGCCUUAGGCAAUUGUAUGCAGGCUACAGGAUCUCUGGAUUUCGAAGUGUAGAGUCAGAGUAUUUAGCAAAACAAUAUAGGGAUUCAGCUGAACUUUAUUUCAAGGACAUAGAAGUAAUAUUUGGUUUCUCCCUGCUGCAUCUCACAAAGAAAUAACUUCAAAUCAAUUGCUUGAUAAUCUAAACGGCCAGAGGAGUGAAUAUUGACUGUAUUUCAAACAGAUAUUUGGCUUAAAUGCAGCUAUACUUGAUUGUAGGGAAUAAAGCAUUAAGCUUUAAACUGUUUAGCCCAAAAAUAUCAUAGGGUAUUUUUUAUUUCUUAUUGCUAUCCAAAGCCUAAACUAGUAAAAAAAAACAUUGCUAUUUCACCAGAAGAAGCUGGUAAAUAUAAGUCAAAAUCUUUAGCUUGCACACAAACGAACUACCUUUGGACUAUUUAGCAGUUGUUUAAAAUUGUCUUUCUGAUUAAAUCAUAUCAUGAAUAAACCAUUAAAACUGC